AUUGAACGCUGGCGGCAGGCCUAACACAUGCAAGUCGAACGAGUGGCGGACGGGUGAGUAAUGUCUGGGAAACUUCCUGAUGGAGGGGGAUCACUACCGGAAACGGUAGCUAAUACCGCAUACCAUCAGAUGUGCCCAGAUGGGACUAGCUAGUUGGUGGGGUAACGGCUCACCAAGGCGACGAGCCCUAGCUGGUCUGAGAGGAUGACCAGCAACACUGGAACUGAGACACGGCCGAGACUACUACGGGAGGAAGCAGUGGGGAAUAUUGCACAAUGGGCGCAAGCCUGAUGCAGCGAUGCCGCGUGUAGGAAGAAGGCCUUCGGGUUGGAAAGUACUUUCAGCGGGGAGGCGGAAGCCGCAGAAGAAGCACCGGCUAACUCCGUGCCAGCCGCCGCGGUAAUAC
rnacentral:rRNA from 1 species